CAGUCGCCACGGUAAUACGGAGGGUGCAAGCGUUAAUUGGAAUUACUGGGCGUAAAGCGCACGCAGGCGGUCUGUCAAGUCAGAUGUGAAAUCCCCGGGCUUAACCUGGGAACUGCAUUUGAAACUGGCAGGCUAGAGUCUUGUAGAGGGGGGUAGAAUUCCAGGUGUAGCGGUGAAAUGCGUAGAGAUCUGGAGGAAUACCGGUGGCGAAGGCGGCCCCCUGGACAAAGACUGACGCUCAGGUGCGAAAGCGUGGGGAGCAAACAGGAUUAGAUACCCCUGUAGUCCCUGUCUCUUAUAC
rnacentral:rRNA from 1 species